rnacentral:rRNA from 1 species
UACGAAGGGUGCAAGCGUUACUCGGAAUUACUGGGCGUAAAGCGUGCGUAGGUGGUUUCUUAAGUCUGCUGUGAAAGCCCCGGGCUCAACCUGGGAAUUGCAGUGGAUACUGGGAAGCUAGAGUGCGGUAGAGGGUAGUGGAAUUCCCGGUGUAGCGGUGAAAUGCGUAGAGAUCGGGAGGAACACCAGUGGCGAAGGCGGCUACCUGGACCAGCACUGACACUGAGGCACGAAAGCGUGGGGAGCAAACAGG